UAUAUACUCCCUCCGUCCCAAAAUUCUUGUCUUAGAUUCGUCUAGAUACGGAUGUAUCUAAUACUAAAACGUGACUUGAUACAUCCGUAUUUAGACAAAUCUAAGACAAGAAUUUUGGGACGGAGGGAGUAUUUU
rnacentral:pre_miRNA from 1 species